GAUGAAGAACGCAGCGAAAUGCAAUACUUGGUGUGAAUUGCAGAAUCCCGUGAACCAUCGAGUCUUUGAACGCAAGUUGCGCCCGAAGCCAUUAGGCCGAGGGCACGCCUGCCUGGGCGUCACACGUCGUUGCCCCCCCAUCUACUCCUUCGGGAUUGCGGGGGGCGGAUGAUGGCCUCUCGUGCGCCUCGUCGCGCGGUUGGCCUAAAUGCCAAGUCCUCGGCGACGCACGCCACGACAAUCGGUGGUUGCGAAACCUCGGUUGCCUGUCGUGUGCGGUCGUCGCGCAUCGAGGGCUCGAAAAAAUUGCCGGGCUUCGGCUCGACUUUCAACGCGACCCCAGGUCAGGCGGGGUUACCCGCUGAAUUUAAGCAUAUCAAUAAGCGGAGGA
rnacentral:misc_RNA from 1 species